CUCCUGUCUGCUGGGCUCUGUGGGGAACACGUCCAGUAGGUGUCAGUCCCAGUGUUUCUCCUGUCUGCUGGGCUCUGUGGGGAACACGUCCAGUAGGUGUCAGUCCCAGUGUUUCUCCUGUCUGCUGGGCUCUGUGGGGAACACGUCCAGUAGGUGUCAGUCCCAGUGUUUCUCCUGUCUGCUGGGCUCUGUGGGGAACACGUCCAGUAGGUGUCAGUCCCAGUGUUUCUCCUGUCUGCUGGGCUCUGUGGGGAACACGUCCAGUAGGUGUCAGUCCCAGUGUUU